UACGAAGGGGGCUAGCGUUGUUCGGAAUUACUGGGCGUAAAGCGCGCGCAGGCGGUUCUUUAAGUCAGGGGUGAAAGCCCAGAGCUCAACUCUGGAAUUGCCUUUGAAACUAGAGAACUUGGGUACGGGAGAGGUGAGUGGAAUUCCGAGUGUAGAGGUGAAAGUUCGUAGAUAUUCGGAAGAACACCAGUGGCGGAAGGCGGCUCACUGGC
rnacentral:rRNA from 1 species